GACGAACGCUGGCGGCGUGCUUAACACAUGCAAGUCGAACGGAAAGGCCCUGCUUUUGUGUGGUUCUCGAUUGGCGAACGCGUGAGUAACACGUGAGUAACCUGCCCUUGACUUUGGGAUAACUUCUGGAAACUGGGUCUAAUACCGGAUAGGAGCUCCUGCUGCAUGGUGUGGGUUGGAAAGUUUCGGCGGUUGGGUAUGUACUCGCGGCUUAUCAGCUUGUUUGUGGGGUAGUGGCUUACCAAGGCUUUGACGGGUAGCCGGCCUGAGAGGGUGACCGGCCACAUUGGGACUGACAUACGGCCCAGACUCCUAAGGGAGGCAGCAGGGGGGAAUAUUGCAGAAUGGGCGGAAGCCUGAUGCAGCAACGCCGCGUGCGGGAUGACGGCCUUAGGGUUGAAAACCGCUUGCGCAUGUGACGAAGCGUGAGUGACGGUAAUGGGUAAAGAAGCACCGGCUAAAUACGUG
rnacentral:rRNA from 1 species